GUGAGGAAUUUUCCGCAAUGGGCGAAAGCCUGACGGAGCAAUGCCGCGUGAAGGAUGAAGGCCUAUGGGUUGUAAACUUCUUUUCUCAGAAAAGAAUUAUGACGGUAUCUGAGGAAUAAGCAUCGGCUAACUCUGUGCCAGCAGCCGCGGUAAGACAGAGGAUGCAAGCGUUAUCCGGAAUGCUUGGGCGUAAAGCGUCUGUAGGUUGUUUAAAAAGUAUUCUGUCAAAGAUUAGGGCUUAACCCUAGAUAGGCAGAAUAAACUUUUAAGCUAGAAUUUGGUAGAGGCAGAUGGAAUUCCCUGUGGAGCGGUGAAAUGCGUAGAUAUCGUGAGGAACACCAAAGGCGAAGGCACUCUGCUGGGCCAAUACUAACACUGAGAGACGAAAGCGAGGGGAGCAAAUGGGAUUAGAUACCCCGGUAGUCC
rnacentral:rRNA from 1 species